UGAAUUUUGAAUGGAAAAGUCUUGAUAAAGUGUUUGUGUAAAUCCUAUUUCUUGUAGGAUUAUGAGUGUUUUUAGUGUUCCUUUGGGAAAAGGUUUUGGAUCCUUCUCGGAUUGAUCUUGUGCACUCAUUGUGUAAAAGGGUUUCUGUUUAGAGUCCAACACUAAUUCUAAUAGGAGAAUGUGUUGGAUUAAUGCUGUAUAUAACCACAAUCACUGCUCUUGCAAAGAUACGGCUCAUAUUGUGUUGAAUACCUAUUGUUCAAAGAGCUCUUUAGUUUUGCUAAAGAGGAGAAGAUUGUCUGGUGGUGAAGCUGCUAUGGCUUCUUCAAGUUCAAGUUCUGCAGGUAUGUUUUGAUUGGUUUAAUGCUGAGAUUUAUGGUUAUGUUGUUCACAUUGUUUGUUGGUAGUAUUGGUGAUUUAUUGGCAUAUCUAUGAUCUGGGAUGAAGUUCUUACAUGUGGUAUCAGAGCCUGGAAAGAUUAUUGUCAUUAAGUUCGAAAUUUUGUACAACAAUUUGGACAAGAAACCAUAAUCUUAAAACCUAGAAACGCAUAACUUGUUUUUGAGCAUAACAGUAAAAAACGACACCGUUUAAAAAAAAAAAAAAAAUUUAUACCGUUAUGUUCACCGGGUUUGCGUCUUUUGCUUUGCCUUGCAUCUUUUCUUUUUCAUGGUCUCUGGGUACAUGGCGAUUCAAUGAAUGAUUCUGCUGAUUCUCUCUGAUUCUUCUCGAGUCAAUUUCAUUCAUUGAUUUCUCUAAACAGGUAUGUCUGCAAUUUUGAAACUUUAAUUUAGGUUAAAAAACUUAUUUGAACACCGUAUAUAUGCAAAUUUGUUAGCAUCUCGCCAAUUUGAAUCAAAAUUAUCUAAAUGGAUAAACUGAAGAAUUAUUUUAAUGUUUCCGCUGCUAAUUUGUUUGGGUUUAUUGAUUUUUUUUUAAUUUUCAAUGCAUGUGGUGUGAUAUUUGAAUAUCAUCCCUUUCGAGCAUGAUUCUUGAAUGCAAUCUUCUGUGAGUUGUUUACUCUAUAUAUGGUUGUCUUUAUCAAAGUUUGAGACCAUGUGUAUGACAAAAUUGACUCAUUAUGAGGAUUACAUAGUGAAAUAGAUGGAAAUCAUGAAUCCCGAAAAGAUUCAAUGUGAUGAUUUCAUUGUUAUCUUCUGCAGUUUCACUAAAAACAAUGAAUUUGGCUGCUGUACCUAUACUCACUGGUGGGAGCAAUUACAAAAAAUGGAGAAGGGAAAUGGAAUUGCUCUUGACAUUAAAUGAGUAUGAUAUAGCACUUGAUACACCACAACCUGCGCCUCUUACUGAUAAGAGUUCAAAGGCUGAGAAGGUUGAGUUCGAAAGAUGGACAAGAGCUAAUAAAGUGGCAUUAUCCAUUUUGGAGAGCGGGAUGACUGACACUGUUCGUGGAGGUAUCAAAAGGUGGGAUCUAGCAAAGGACUAUUUCAAAGCUAUUGAGAGCAAAUUCAAGGAAUCACAAAAGGCUGAGAUUGCUCAGUAUAUGACCCUUCUCACAACUUACAAAUUUGAAGGUGGUGGUUCAGUCAGAGAUCACAUUAUGAGGAUGACCGAUGCGGCUGAGAAGCUUAAUUCAUUAGACAUGAAUAUUUGUGAAAAGCAGCUAGUGUUCAUGAUUCUGCAAGCACUUCCUUUGAAGUUCAGUCAAUUAAAAGUCUCUUACAACACUCAAGAUAAGUCAUGGACAGUGGAUGAACUGAUAUCUCAAUGUGUUCAAGAGGAAAAUCGACAGAAGCAAGACAAAGGAAAGGAAGCUGAGACCAUCAAUUUUGUGCAGACUUCUAAAAGGAAGGAUCUCAAUGCAUAUUCUGGUAAAUCUCCUCAAUUCAAACAUCCUGAUAAAUCUUUUGUGUCUGCUAAGAAUUCCCAUUCCUCUAAAUCUAACAAUCUUAAAGUUAAAGCUAAAAACAUUGAAAAGGUUAGGUGUCAUCAUUGCAAAACUAAAGGUCAUUAUAGAAAAGAUUGUGAAAUAUUCAAAGAAUGGCUUAGGGCUAAAGGUAGAACUAAUGUAUAUGUCUGUGAGGAAUCAAAUCUCAUUGAAAUUCCGGCAAAUUCCUGGUGGUUUGAUACUGGUGCAUCUGUGCAUAUAACCAAUUCACUGCAUGGUUUUGAAAAACAAAAACAAACAAAUGAUUAUAACGUUUUUGUUGGUGAAGGAACCAGAGUUGUAGUUGAAUCGAUAGGGAAAGUGAAACUAAAAUUGGCUUCUGAAUUUGUGUUGGAACUGUCCAAUGUUUUAUAUGUGCCUGCAAUGAGAAGAAGUUUAAUCUCUGCAUCUAAGUUAGUAGCUGAAGGUGUUAUUUUCAUAGGUGAUAAAGAAUGCAUAAAAUUUUUUCAUAGGGGAGCCUUGAUAGGAAAAGCAGUUUUGCAUGAUCAGUUAUGGAAAAUGCAGUGCACAUUGUUGGACAAUGAGUUAAGUGUUUUAAAUACGACUGCCAAAAGAAUGCAAAAUUUUGACAACUCUUAUAUGUUGUGGCAUAAAAGACUAGGACAUAUUUCGAAGGAAAGGAUCAUGCAAUUAUCAAAAUUAAAUUUCAUACCUGCUUUAGAUUUUCAUAAUGCAUCUGAAUGCAUUGACUGUAUGAAGGGUAAAACCACCAACUUUAGGAAAAUGGAUGCCAAUAGAAGUAAAAAUUUGCUUGAGAUUAUACACACCGAUGUUUGUGGACCUUUUCCUAUCAAAACUAUUUGUGGAAAUUCAUACUUUGUGAGUUUUAUAAAUGAUUUUUCCAGACAUGGUUACAUAUUUCUAAUAAAAGAAAAGUCAGCAGUCCUUGAGUGUUUCAAAAUUUUUAAAUGUGAGGUAGAAAAACAACUAAACCUAGUGAUUAAGAUUGUUAGAUCAGAUAGAGGAGGGGAAUACUUUGGCAGGCACACAGAAGCAGGACAACAAAAGGGUCAUUUUGCACGGUCUUGAGCAGCAAGGUAUUGUGGCCCAGUAUACUACUCCAGGCACACCCCAACAGAAUGGAGUGGCUGAGAGAAGAAAUCGAACCCUGAUAGGAAUGGUUAGAAGUCUAAUUUCAAGAUCAAAGUUGCCUGGUUUUCUGUGGGGAGAAGCAUUGAGGACAUCUAACUAUGUGUUGAAUCGAGUGCCUACAAAAUCAGUGCCUAAAACACCCUUUGAGUUAUGGACUGGCAGAAUACCGAGUUUUAAUCAUUUCCAUGUGUGGGGUUGCAAAGCAGAAGCAAGGUUUUACAAUCCAAAUGAGAGGAAGCUCGACUCUAGAACCAGUUCAUGCUAUUUUGUGGGAUAUUUAGAGAAAUCUAAGGGCUUUAAAUUUUAUUGUUCUCAAUCACAUACAAGAAUCCAAGAGACUCAUAAUGCAAUUUUCUUAGAAGAUCAAGAUAUAUCAGACUUGGUUCAUGAUACCUUUGAGUUUGAAGAGUCAGAACAUCUCGAUGGUUCAAUUCCAAUGGACUACAAUCAUAUCUCGGUGUUGCCUAGAACUCACAUAGAGAAAGAUGAUCUUGAUGAGGAAAUGGCACAAGAAAUGGAUGCUGAAAUACAAAAUGAACAUGAGAAUGCUCCUUGUACACGAGAUCUGUCCUCAAAUGCUCAAAAUUCUCAAGUUGAGGGAAAUACCUGUCAUGAGAAUGAACAAUUGAAUCUGAGGAAGUCCAGCAGAGUCAAGAAAUCAGCUAUUUUGGCUGACUAUGUCUAUCUCCAAGAAGCAGAAUUUGAUAUAGGUGACAUAGAUGAUCCAGUUACCUAUCAACAAGCAAUUCAAUGUCCUCAUGUUGCAUUAUGGAAGAAAGCAAUGGAGGAAGAGUUGGAUUCCAUGUCCAAGAAUAAAGUCUGGACCCUUGUGAACUCUAUUUCAAAUGUCAAACCAAUAGGUUGCAAGUGGGUUUACAAAACUAAAAGGGAUGAUGUCGGGAGAAUAGAGAGAUAUAAGGCUCGAUUAGUAGCCAAGGGCUUCACUCAGAGAGAGGGGAUUGAUUACAAUGACACGUUCUCACCAGUUUCUUCCAAAGACUCUAUGAGGAUCAUCAUGGCUUUAACAUCUCAUUUUGAUCUGGAAUUACACCAGAUGGAUGUUAAAACCGCCUUUUUGAAUGGCGAUCUGCAGGAAGACAUAUAUAUGGUGCAACCUUCCGGAUUUGUUGAAAGGGGGAAAGAGCAUAUGGUCUGCAAACUGAAUAAGUCGAUUUAUGGGCUUAAACAGGCAUCUAGGCAGUGGUUUCUCAAGUUUGAUCAGGUAGUGACCGCUCAUGGUUUUGUUGACAACAAGAUGGAUGAUUGCAUCUAUUUAAAACACAAAGGAUCAAAGUUCAUUUUUCUGGUUUUGUAUGUUGAUGACAUUCUGCUUGCAAGUUCUAACAUACAACUGCUUAAAGAAACCAAGGCUAUUUUAAGCACAAAUUUUGAAAUGAAAGAUUUAGGGGAAGCACAUUAUGUUCUGGGGAUUGAAAUAACAAGAGACAGAAAGAGAAAGCUUCUGGGAUUAUCUCAAAAGGGAUACAUUGAAAGGGUGCUGAACCGAUUCAAUAUGGAGAAAUGCAAUAAGGCAGAUGUUCCAGUUAACAAAGGUGACAAGUUUUCUAAAGAUCAAUGUCCUAAGAAUGAGAAUGAGAUCGAGUUGAUGAAGAUGAAGCCUUAUGCAUCAUUAGUUGGAAGCAUCAUGUAUGCUAACAUUUGUACAAGGCCUGACUUAGCAUUCAUUGUUGGAGUAUUAGGCAGGUUUCAAUCAAAUCCAGGAGAAUCUCAUUGGGUGGCUGCGAAGAAAGUAUUGAGAUAUAUGCAGAAAACAAAAGCUUAUCAGUUAGUUUAUGGCAGAGAUGAUGAUUUGGAGUUGAUUGGAUUUACAGAUUCAGAUCUUGCUGGGGAUAUAGAUGAGAGAAAAUCGACUGGAGGUUAUAUCUUUAUGUUAAAUGAGGGUGCUCCUGGAAGAGUGCUAAGCAAACAAUUGUGUCUACUUCAACAAUGGAGGCUGAAUUUGUUGCAUGUUUUGAAGGGAUGAAACAGGCAGUAUGGUUAAGAAAUUUUGUUGCUGAGAUGAAAAUUGUUAACUCGGUUAAAAGGCCUUUGAAGAUGUUCUGUGACAACAAUGCUGCUGUGUUUUUCUCCAAGAACAAUAAGAGAACUUCGGCUUCAAGACUAAUGGAUGUGAAGUUUCUUAAAGUUAGAGAAAUGGUGAAGAAAGGAGAGAUAGAAAUUCUACAUUUAUCUACAGAGAAGAUGAUUGCAGAUCCUCUUACUAAAGCUUUGCCAAACAGUGUGUUUAAAGCACAUGUUACUAGAAUGGGAAUUUUAGAAGCUUUUGACAAGUGGGAGUGAUUGUGACCAGAUUUGAGAUGGUUUUGGAACUGCAGUGUUGCUUAUGUUACUGCGGUAGGAGAUUUCCUGAGUUAAGUUAGAUGGCAUACUAAUAUCUUGUCUUAGUUAGUAUUUCGCUUUGUUUUUUAUUUAUAUGAAUUCAAUUUUUCCGUAUUGUGAUUAAUUGAUUCAGAUAGUUAGCAUUGCAAUAAAAUAGUUUGAGUUUGCUAGUAAAUCAGUUUGUGAUUUUACUGAAGUAUACUUUGGAACUGUUUAGUAUAUUGUUCUGUUAUGGAUGUUUGUCAUUUAAGCUGAAAUUUUAACUGUGAUUGAGUUGAAAUUGGUUUAAAUGAGUGUGAGUAAUGAAUUUUGGCAUUACUGAGAUUGUUUGCGUAUAACUACAAAAUGCAAAAUUGGAUAUGUUGUAAUUCUUGGAUAAAGUCUGAGAUUGUACAGAUAGAGUCCUGGAGUUCCAUAUUUUGAUAUGCAUAGGUAAUGUUGUAUACGAAGUUAGAAGCUUUAUUCUGGACUUAGUGAUCACUUCCAUGAUUCAUUUAGUUAAUCAUUGUGUCUUUAUACUCAAGUGGGAGAAUGUUGGAAUAUGAGUAUAAAAACAUGAUUGUGGAUUAGCUAUUAUAUUGAAUGAAUUUUGAAUGGAAAAGUCUUGAUAAAGUGUUUGUGUAAAUCCUAUUUCUUGUAGGAUUAUGAGUGUUUUUAGUGUUCCUUUGGGAAAAGGUUUUGGAUCCUUCUCGGAUUGAUCUUGUGCACUCAUUGUGUAAAAGGGUUUCUGUUUUAGAGUCCAACACUAAUUCUAAUAGGAGAAUGUGUUGGAUUAAUGCUGUAUAUAACCACAAUCACUGCUCUUGCAAAGAUACGGCUCAUAUUGUGUUGAAUACCUAUUGUUCAAAGAGCUCUCUAGUUUUGCUAAAGAGGAGAAGAUUGUCUGGUGGUGAAGCUGCUAUGGCUUCUUCAAGUUCAAGUUCUGCAGGUAUGUUUUGAUUGGUUUAAUGCUGAGAUUUAUGGUUAUGUUGUUCACAUUGUUUGUUGGUAGUAUUGGUGAUUUAUUGGCAUAUCUAUGAUCUGGGAUGAAGUUCUUACAG
rnacentral:lncRNA from 1 species